CGCAGGCGAGUGCGAGAAACAUGAAGGCGAAGCCAUGGCAGAAAAAGGGGGAAGAGCCGAUUGCGGCGGGAGCGGAAAGGAAAAAAAACAAAACCAGCGACCAAAAAAAACACGACAAACUCUCGACCAAUUCCUCUCAGAAACCAAAAACAAAGUCUUUAGACUUCAUGAAGAGAGCUAGAGAACAGGUUUUUUUUCUCAACUCCUGAAUAGAAUCUAAUUUUUAAAAAUUACCUCAAUUCCUGCAGUGGGAGUUUUUUGUAAUAUUUAAUUUCGACUGUCGAUCGGGCGCUAAGUCAAUUUCACCACCCCCCCCCCGACGGAUUUCCGUCGACAACAAUGUUGGGAGGUUUUUUUUAUUUCACUAGCAAACAAAGCCCUCCCGUCAAAAAUUUUAAAAUAACAGAGGAAAAAAAAAACGCCUCGUUAAAGUCCGCCGGGAGAGAGAAGGUAAGGAAAGGGAAAAAGGGGCUUCCCCCCUCCUCGACACUACAGCACCCCGGGGCCCAGAGGAGGAGGAGGGCGACGACGGGCCCCCGGUGGUUCAAAUACACGCACACACACACACUACAUUUUAAAAGGGGACAUCUUUUUAAAAGAAAGGGAAAGCGCACCUCUUGUUUUUCUCCUUUGAUUUUUUUUCCACGGAAGGAGAAGCCGAGUCCGGGUCUGACCGAGACAAAAGGGCCGCCGGUCUGUGGGGCUGAGAAAAUGGCGGCCGCGGUGGGGGGGAGGGGGGGUGACCGGCCCACAGUGCACCGCGCGUCCAGGCCAGGCCAUCAGUAGACACGAGGCCCGAAACAUGGCCAACUUUGCCCAACUCUUACCACUCACCCUCCUGUCUUAUACUUUUGAUCUUAUUGAGUAUUCUUCUUGGAUUUUCUUUUUAUUAUUUAGGUAUUUUUCAAUCUUAACCACUUUAUGCUGCUUCACCCAUGGAAGGCAGCCCACUUUCUGUUUUUGAUUAUUUGGCCAUUUUUAAUUCUUCUUUACCCAUGCAGAGCAACUCAGUUUUUCUCCCUUUUUGAUCAUUUGGCUCAACUUUCAUUUAUUUUUGUGGGAGAUCCUGUGUUUUAUUUUUUCACCACUUCCAUGUUUUCAUUGCUCCAUUGUCCAAUCAAUUUCUUUUUAAUCAUAUUUCAAAGACUAGGAGACACACUUUUAAGCUAAGAGAGAGUUUUAAAGACAUGAGGGGCAUUUUUUUUUAACACACAAGGUUUUUUUUGUGUGUGCAGUGAACUUUCUCAGGAAGUGAUGGAUGUGGUACAAUUACAACAUUUAAAUGACAUUUGGAUAAGUUCAUGAAUAGGAAAUGUUUAGAAGGAUAUGGACCAGGAGCCGACAAGUAGGACUAGUUGAGUUUGGGAUUAUGUCUGGCAUAGCCUGGUUGGACGGAUGGGUCUGUUUCCAUGCUGUUGACUCUAUGACUCUUCGGCCCAAUUUUUCCUUUUUUGUAAAAUCACUCCAUUCUCCAACCAAUUUCACCUCUUUCAUCAUUUUUUUCAAUUGCCACAAUGUUUCAUUUUUAUGAGGAUCUUUCUUUUAAUCACUCCAUAUUCAAUCAAUUUCUCCUUUUUCAUAUGUUUCCCUGAGGCCAGCUUUUUCUUUUAUUGGGAUGUGGCUCUUCAUUUUUUUUUACCCUUUCCAUUUUUUUCUUCGUCUCAUAGUUCAUUUGAUUUCUAUGAUAAGUCAUUUCUUUGACCCAACGCUUCAGCUGAGGUUUUGCACUUUUUGAUCACACCAUAGUUCAACAAUUUCUCUUUCAUGAGAUUCAGUUGCCCACACCCCUCCAACUUUUCAUUUAAUCACACUGUACUCCAACCAUUUUAUCCUCUUAUGUCAUGUUUCACUUGGCCCAAGUUUUCAUUUUUUUUGGGUGGGAGGGAUGCAUGUCUUUUUUUUUUUAAAUCCCUUCCAAAUUUUCAUCAUGCAGUAGUCCAAUCAAUUUUUCCUUUUUAGUAUUUCAUUUGGACUAAACUUUCUUUUUUAAGGGGUGGAGGUAUUGCAUUUUCUUCAGCGUACCAUACUCCAACCAAUUUCUCCUUUGUCAUGUUUCAUUUGGGCCAGGUUUUCAUUUCUCUGGGAUAGAGAUCGUUCAUCUUUUUUGGUAACCCCACAUUCCAACCACCACUGGGGUCAGUGAGUUCAGUUGGUUGGACAUCUAGUUUGUGAUGCCAACAGCAUGGGUCCAAUUGUCACACCAGCUGAGACUGCCAUGAAGGAUUCUGCUUCUCGGCCUCUCCCCUCACCUGAGGUGUGGUGACCCUCGGGUAAAACUACCUCGUCAUUCUUUCUAAAGAGAGAAUACCCAUAUGAUCUGAUAGGACCAUGGUGACUAUUCGUUUUUUUAAAAAACUCCAAUUUCUCCUGUUUUCACUGAAUUUCCCUUUGUAAUUUUUUUUUAUGUGGAUGGAAGGGUUCUUGCAGUCUUUCACUCCACACUGCAGCCAAUUUCUCCUCUUCUAUUAAUUUUCCCUGGGCCAAACUUUUCAUUCUUUUUGUGUGUGGAGUUCUUCAUUGUGUUUAACCCUGUCCCUCUUUUUCAUCACCAUAUAGUCCAGUUGAUUUCUCCUUUUUAAUGUCACUUCGCACAACAUUUCAUCUUUUGCAGGCAGGGGGUGAUAUCUUGCAUUCUUUCACUGUAUGUCCCAACUAACAUCUCAUCUUUAAUUGUAUUUCACUGAAGUGAUUGUUUUACUCCCAUUUCUUUCAUUACUCCAUAAUCCAGUCAGUUUCUUUUUGAUUUUAAUUCAUUUGGCCCCAGCUUCUUUCAUGGAUGGAUGAUGGUGGUUUUUUUUUAAUCCCCCUCCCACUUUCUCAUCACCCCAUACUCCAACCUUCUUUUUUCUGUCUUAUUUCCCUGAGCCAACUUUUCAUAUUUUUGUGCAGGCGUCUUCAUUUUUUCACUCUUUUUUUCCCUCAUCAACCCCAUAAUUUAUCCAAUUUCUUCUUGUUAAAUUUUUCUGCACAACUUUUAUUUCCCAGUGGGGGAAUUAUUCAUUGUUCCUUUUCCUUGCAGUUAAUCUCUACCUCAAAAUUAAGCAUUGUGCUCUUUCUGACCACAUUUUACUUAUUCAAUUAUCUAUUGUUUGGGGGCCUUCAUUUUUAACACUCAUUUUUUUCACGACCCCACAAUUCAUUCCAUUUCUCCUUAUUAAUUAUAAUUUUACUUGUGUGAUCAACCUUUUUUUUUCCCUAUUCAUCCAUGGGGUGUAGGCAUCAUUUGUUAGGCCAGCAUUUGUUGUACAUCCCAAGGGGCAGCUCAGAGCGAACCACAUUGCUGUGGGUCUGGAGUCACAUGUAAGACAGACCGGGUAAGAAUGGCAGAAAACCUUCUGCAAGGGACAAGGUGAUCCAGACGGGACCAGAUUUUUUUUUUAAAGAUCAUUAAAUUCAGAUUUCACCAUCUGCUACAGUGGAAUUGAAAUCCAGAACAGGAGCUGCCAAACCAAGUAGUGGAAAAGGGCUUUUUUUUGCUGAACUUCCUGGAGAAGAGCCAGUGAGGAUGGAACCCAUGUUCAAAAAAAUAAGGAUUGUGUAAUGUUCGAGUCUAUGGAAUCAUCACAGGAAGUCCAUGUGAUUAUGCUGAAAGGGAUGAGUGAAGAAGAUUUGGUCUAAAAGGAGAAUGGAAGAUUGACCUUAGCAAAGCAGGGAGAAGACAUCCAGGAAGAGUUGGACUUUAAGUGAGUCAGUAGAGACUGUGGUAUUCUACACACAUUUCCCCAGGUGAAAAGAUCAGGACUACAAAAAUACUGGGGAAGAAAAAAAUAAUCAAUGUUUCAAACUCCAGUCAACCUUCAUUUAUGAAAUCUUUAAAAAAUAAUCGUAUCCCUUCAGUUAAGGGGGGAAAAAAGUCAGAUGGUAGACGAGAUCAGUCCUUUUGCAAAUCUAGGACUCUCACUGAAAUCUAUUCAAAAUCCUCGUUACUAGCCUGACCUCUAUCUGAAACAAGUGUGGGCAGUCAGAUCCAUUUCAGUGAAAUGCUUCCCAAAGCAGGUGGUCAGGGCUCCCAGUGGGGUUGCCAAUUGAAACGCAAGGGUCACAAGCUCCAAGGCAACAAUGGCUACUGUGGAACCCUGACCAAGUUAUACUCCCCACCUAAUGAGCUUCCAAUUUCUAACACCCUCUUGCUGAGGAGCAGUGACAAAUUUUGAAGCCUCAGAAUGCAAUUGGAGAGAAAACUUUGGGAACCACUGUCCUAGUGGAUAAAAGGCCUAAAAGAAACCUCACUAUAAAAAGUUUAACAACCAACUCAUUCAAGGCCAUCAAGAUAGCACUUUUGCUCCAAGCUACGCACAAGUGUUCUGUUAGGGAACAUGUUCACAACUAGACCUGGAUAAGCACAUAAUGAGGGGGCAAGCCAAUAUGAAGUAGUCUGGUGCAUUUGAGUAGGUGCUUCUUCCCCACCAGCAGAAUUUAACAAGGAGGGAGUCUCUAUUACUUGCAGUGUGAUCAUUUGAAAACAAAAAUGCAGAACUCAUUGCAACGCAUCACUGGAUAACUGAAGAAUAGGAUUUGUUUAAGAGACUGCUCCUCAGCAUGUAGGUGUUUGCUGGUCUUUGUUGCCUAUCCCCCAGUUGCCAUGAUAGUGGUUUCUUGAUGUGAUUAUCAUCCUCUAGGCGAGGGUCAGCCAAGAAUUGGCCACAUGAAAGUGUUCAACACCAUGCACAUGUACACACAAAAGGGCUGCAGAACUCCUUCCCCAAAUAAUAGAGAUAUUAGUGAAACAGGUGUGUUUAAUGACAAACUUCCUGGACAUAUUUCUAAUGCUAAGUCUUGAAAAAGUAAAUAUGGAAUGGUCAAACUGCCAGGGUGGGAUUGCAACUGAUACGAAAGUACAAUAGAUAGGGUGGUAUGGUAGCUCAGCUGUUAGCACUGCUGCCUCACAGCAUCAGGGACUCAGGUUCAAUUUCCCCUUCCCCUCAGGUGACUGUGGAGUUUGCACAUUCUGCCUGUGUCUACAUGGGUUUCCUCCUACAGUCCACAGAUGUGCAGGCUAAGUUGAUUGGCCACGCUAACAUUGCUGAUAGUGUUCAGGACAAGUGAAUUAGCUAUGGGAAGUGCAGGGUUCCACGGAUAAGAUGUUCUUUUGGGAGGGUUGGUGUGGAUUCAAUGGGCUGAAUGGCUUGCUUCCACACUGUCAGGAUUCUAUAAUUAUUUGGGGUUUUUAAAAAUUGUUUCUAGCCAGUGGUUAAUUUGUUACACCUCAAACUGAUGUCCUUUCUUUUGAAAGUGAAGCAAGUUGGAGGCAUCCCUGUCAGCUUAUGCACUAUUAUUGUGCAAAAAUCCAAAGUUCAGCAAGGGUAGAGGCAUCCUCUGCCACACACAUGAUUAUGUUAACUGUCCUAUUUUGAGGGGUAUGGGGACCAAAUACAGCAGUCCAGGUAUCUUCAGCCCUCAUCAGGGUGAAAGAUUACACAACAAUCCUGUAAAGGGGAGGCAAUGGCCUAGUGGUAUUGUCACUGGACUGUUAAUCUCAACACUGACAACAUUCUGGGGACCUGGGUUCAAAUCCUGCCAUAGCAGAUGGUAGAAUUUGAAGUCAAUUAAAUAUCUGGAAUUAAAGAAUCUAAUGAUGUCCAUGAAUCCAUUGUUGGAAAAAACCCAUCUGGUUCACUAGUGCCCUUUAGGGAAGGAAAUAGCCAUCCUUACUUGAUCUGACCAGCAAUGUUGUUGACUCAUGACUGCCGUCUAGGCAAUUAGGGAUGGGCAAUAAAUACUGCCUAGCCAGCAACAUAUUCAUUCCAUUAGUGACAAAACAAUAUCAACCCAGUGGAUCACCCCUAUAUUGAGAGAUUGAGAACAAUAUUUACUAACCAGUUUAGAAUGUAGAGGUUUGGUUGAGCCUUUUAUGCAAACCUCAAAACAGCCUGUUUUUCCUUUGACUGGAAUCGGAAUCUGGAGAGAGCAAUUUCAAUAAAUAAUAAUACUUCAACUUCAUCCAACGUGCUUUGAAAACAAAUACUUGGAUACUCUGUAUAACAAUGUCAAUCUCCAUCUUACACUGGGAGAGGAUCCUGGGUUUUGAAGUGCAAAAAAAAAAAAAAAUUAAGCAUCUUAAUAGAGGGAGGUGGCAUUUACAUAUUCCUCACAGUCUUGCUGGUUUCCAAGUGCACAACUUAGUACUCAUGUAUCCACACAGGUGCCUGCUGUCACCCUCAUUGGAGGCUUGCACUUCUUUAGGCUAUUGAAAUGUCUGGUGUCUGUAUUAGACAUUAACAAGUUUUGCGUUUUGUUUUUACAAGUAUGAAAUCAGCUUAAAAUUUAGUUUUCAAAAUUCAGUUUAAGAGGAAUCCAAAGGAAAAUAAUGCUACAUUUUAGAUUAUUUGAUAUACAAGCCACAGAACUGUCACAUGCCACAACAUUCUGUUGCCUCUGUCUCCAGGACUCUGCUGGGAAGGCAGAAAGAGGAGCAUGCAAGACAACUAUAAAAACACUACUGAUUAAAGAAAUUGCAGACUUGAAAUAGUAAAUUCAUUCUGUCUCUGAUGCUGCCAGACAAUUAGUUUAGAAAAGGCACCUGAAUAUGCAAGAUUUAGGAGGGAUAUGGGCCAAAUGGUACUAGAUUAAUUUAGGAUACCUGGUGGGUAUGGAUGAGUUGGACUGAAGGAUCUGUUUCCCUGCUGUACAGCUCUAUAACUAUGACCUGCUGAACAUUUUCAGCUUCUCACAAACAGAUUCAGUGUCUGUAGUAUUUUACUCUAGUAAUAGAUCAAUCUUAACAGUGGGCAGAUGCAAGUCAAAUUUUGUUUAAAUUUAUGUAGUACAAUUUGAACUAUAAAGAAACACCCAAGGCACUUCAUAAGACUGUUAUCAACCUGAACUUGGCAUCAAGUCAGAAAGUGUAUUUUUUGAUCAAGGCAAUGAGAUUUGCUGAAAUCCAAGUGGCAUUACUGGUGUUUGAGGGAAAAAAAAAUUAUGUUUUUUCCAAUUAAAGAAACAGUAGAUAAUAGCAAGCAACUCAAAAACCUUAAUUUUUUUCUGCCAAGCCUUCACUUACAAUUUCCAGUUCAUCCGGAAAUUCACUUUCCAGGUCCUGCUUCAGAUUUGCAAACUAGAGGGAAGGAAACAGGAAUUUAUUCUUUAAAAUGAAGUUCCCUGAAGCUAAAGCAAUGCUUUAGAAUGAUUUUA